rnacentral:lncRNA from 1 species
GGCAUAUCACAUCUUGACACCAAACCAAACACACCUUAAUGCCACCGAUCCUAAUUAAGUGCUGCUACAUAUCCAUCAAAGUUGCUCCGGCGGCAGAGCGAGUGUGGUAGCACGCAAGUGUGUGCUCGGCAUCAUCAGGGGUUUGCAGAGAUUGCAGCCAGGGAGGGUGCUCCAGCAAUAAGCCGAGGUGGGAAAAACAUAUGGCUGACGCGCUCAUAACUCAGGAAAAAUGGAAAAAAAAAUGGGAUAAUUUGCGUCACAAGUUUGGUUAAAACAAGAUAAAUUUAUAGAAAUUAUGUGAAAUGGGGUAGAUUGUGUCACGAAAAUGAAACUAAGGGGUAAA